AAUGAACGCUGGCGGCAGGCCUAACACAUGCAAGUCGAACGGAUCCUUCGGGAUUAGUGGCGGACGGGUGAGUAACGCGUGGGAACAUACCCAAAGGUACGGAAUAGCCUCGGGAAACUGGGAGUAAUACCGUAUGUGCUCGAAAGAGGAAAGAUUUAUCGCCUUUGGAUUGGCCCGCGUUGGAUUAGGUAGUUGGUGGGGUAAUGGCCUACCAAGCCGACGAUCCAUAGCUGGUUUGAGAGGAUGAUCAGCCACACUGGGACUGAGACACGGCCCAGACUCCUACGGGAGGCAGCAGUGGGGAAUCUUAGACAAUGGGGGAAACCCUGAUCUAGCCAUGCCGCGUGAUCGGUGAAGGCCUUAGGGUUGUAAAGAUCCUUCAGGUGGGAAGAUAAUGACUGUACCACCAGAAGAAGCCCCGGCCAACUCCGUGCCAGCCGCCGCCGUAA
rnacentral:rRNA from 1 species